rnacentral:piRNA from 1 species
UGUACUGUUAUGCAGGAACUACGAACGC